rfam:Sus scrofa isolate TJ Tabasco breed Duroc chromosome 13, whole genome shotgun sequence.
UCCCUGGUGGCCUAGAGGUUAAGGAUUCAGCAUUGUCACUGCUGUGUCUCAGGUUCAAUCCCUGGCCCAGAAA